rnacentral:rRNA from 1 species
CCCUGGCUCAGAUUGAACGCUGGCGGCAGGCCUAACACAUGCAAGUCGAGCGGUAGAGAGAAGCUUGCUUCUCUUGAGAGCGGCGGACGGGUGAGUAAUGCCUAGGAAUCUGCCUGGUAGUGGGGGAUAACGCUCGGAAACGGACGCUAAUACCGCAUACGUCCUACGGGAGAAAGCAGGGGACCUUCGGGCCUUGCGCUAUCAGAUGAGCCUAGGUCGGAUUAGCUAGUUGGUGAGGUAAUGGCUCACCAAGGCGACGAUCCGUAACUGGUCUGAGAGGAUGAUCAGUCACACUGGAACUGAGACACGGUCCAGACUCCUACGGGAGGCAGCAGUGGGGAAUAUUGGACAAUGGGCGAAAGCCUGAUCCAGCCAUGCCGCGUGUGUGAAGAAGGUCUUCGGAUUGUAAAGCACUUUAAGUUGGGAGGAAGGGCAGUAAAUUAAUACUUUGCUGUUUUGACGUUACCGACAGAAUAAGCACCGGCUAA